rnacentral:tRNA from 1 species
AUUUUCAUAGUUUAAGUUAAAACAUUACACUGAAAAUGUAAAAAUAUUUCUUUUUUUGAAAAUA